CUGCGAAUGGCUCAUUAAAUCAGUUAUCGUCUACUUGAUGGCACCUUACUACAUGGAUAACCGUGGUAAUUCUAGAGCUAAUACAUGCUAAAAACCCCGACUUACGGAGGGGUGGAUUUAUUAGAUUCAAAACCAACGCCCCUCGGGGCUCUCUGGUGAAUCAUAAUAACUUUGCGGAUCGCAAGGCCUUGCGCCGGCGAUGGUUCAUUCGAAUUUCUGCCCUAUCAACUUUCGACGGCUGGGUCUUGGCCAGCCAUGGUGGCAACGGGUAACGGAGGGUUAGGGCUCGACCCCGGAGAAGGAGCCUGAGAGACGGCUACUACAUCCAAGGAAGGCAGCAGGCGCGCAAAUUACCCAAUCCCAAUACGGGGAGGUAGUGACAAUACAUACUGAUACAGGGCUCUUUUGGGUCUUGUAAUUGGAAUGAGUACAAUUUAAAUCCCUUAACGAGGAACAAUUGGAGGGCAAGUCUGGUGCCAGCAGCCGCGGUAAUUCCAGCUCCAAUAGCGUAUAUUAAAGUUGUUGAGGUUAAAAAGCUCGUAGUUGAACCUUGGGCCUGGCUGGCUGGUCCGCCUCACCGCGUGCACUGGUCCGGCCGGGUCUUUCCCUCUGGGGAGCCGCAUGCCCUUUACUGGGUGUGCCGGGGAACCAGGACGUUUACUCUGAACAAAUCAGAUCGCUUAAAGAAGGCCAAUGCUCGAAUGUUCUAGCAUGGAAUAAUGGAAUAGGACGCGUGGUUCUAUUUUGUUGGUUUCUAGGACCGCCGUAAUGAUUAAUAGGGACAGUCGGGGGCAUCAGUAUUCAAUUGUCAGAGGUGAAAUUCUUGGAUUUAUUGAAGACUAACUACUGCGAAAGCAUUUGCCAAGGAUGUUUUCAUUAAUCAGGAACGAAAGUUAGGGGAUCGAAGACGAUCAGAUACCGUCGUAGUCUUAACCAUAAACUAUGCCGAUUAGGGAUCGGACGGUGUUAUUUUUUGACCCGUUCGGCACCUUACGAAAAAUCAAAAUGUUUGGGCUCCUGGGGGAGUAUGGUCGCAAGGCUGAAACUUAAAGAAAUUGACGGAAGGGCACCACCAGGGGUGGAGCCUGCGGCUUAAUUUGACUCAACACGGGGAAACUCACCAGGUCCAGACACAAGUAGGAUUGACAGAUUGAGAGCUCUUUCUUGAUUUUGUGGGUGGUGGUGCAUGGCCGUUCUUAGUUGGUGGAGUGAUUUGUCUGCUUAAUUGCGAUAACGAACGAGACCUUAACCUGCUAAAUAGCCCGUAUUGCUCCUGCAGUACGCCGUAACAAGGUCUCCGUUGGUGAACCAGCGGAGGGAUCAUUACAAGAGCGGAUUAUCUCUGAACUCUUUCAAAAAACGGUCUUGUUGUACUUGCAGGCUGCUCUAAUUAGAGAGUAGCAGCUAUUUUAGCAUCUGCUUGGCGCGCAGGACUGGUACAUUGUUGGUUAAUCUGAGUAUUUGUGGGAAUUACAAAACUUUCAACAACGGAUCUCUUGGCUCUGGCAUCGAUGAAGAACGCAGCGAAAUGCGAUACAUAAUGUGAAUUGCAGAAUCCAGUGAAUCAUUGAAUCUUUGAACGCACAUUGCGCCCGCUAGUAUCCUGGCGGGCAUGCCUAUUCGAGCGUCUUUAAUACCGUCGGGUUGCCUCCCGGUGUUUGGGGCUUGCGGGUGUCCGCAACCCUUCAAAGGCAUUAGCAGGCUCGCUAUAUCUCGGAGCGCAUUAAGCAAUACCCGCUUACGGCGGUAUAGCCCAUGCUUGCUAGAUGGAUAUAAACUCCUGUAGACCUCG
rnacentral:rRNA from 1 species